rnacentral:lncRNA from 1 species
CUUCUUAGGAGUUAGGACUCUUCCUAAGUCAGAAAAUAUGCCCUCGUCACGUUUUCCACUCUAUUGUGAGCUCUCUCACGUUUUUCUCCUUCUUAGGACUUAGGACUCUUCCUAAGUCAGAAAACAUGCCCUCGUCACGUUUUCCACUCUAUUGUGAGCUCUCACGCGUUUUUCUCCUCAAGUCACAAAAGAGAAGGGUGCUGCCAAUUUAUAACACAUGAAAACAGCCCCAUUACACAAUAGUUGCCUAGUUUUUAGGCUUGCACUU